UUGGUGUACUGGCUAAUGUGGGCAAUGGCUCAUACUUGAUUAUCCAUGGAGGAGUGGUUUUAUCGUGUGGUGUAUCCAACAAGGUGUUAACUUCUUUCAUAUAUCCCUCAAAGUCAUACACUCCAAAGUGAGCCAAGCAAGUAUCUAAGGGGUCUGGUGCUAGAAUUGUGGGUGUUGCAUCUUCUAUAAUAUCUUCUAGUAUAUCUACUUCGAAGCAACUAUCCAUUGAUGGUCCUUGGAAAGCACCAAACACAUUCAGUCUCAGUUUCUUAUUCCCAAACG
rnacentral:lncRNA from 1 species